CAGAAAUAGGGAGAAUGAUCAAAGCUCACUUUCCACAUUCCCAGUUUAUUGUGGUUUCACUGAAAGAAGGCAUGUUCAACAAUGCCAAUGUCCUUUUUCGGACGAAAUUUGUAGAUGGUGUUUCAACUGUCCAGAGGACUGUUGCUGCUAAGCAGAACAAGUGAUUGCUGCCACAUUAUCAGGUUUAU